rnacentral:lncRNA from 1 species
AUAGGUGGGGGCGGAGCUCGUCAGUCCUGCGGUCGGAAGCCCCGACUCCACCGUCCAGCGCCCGGCCUCCCCCUGCCUUUCAGGGUUUCCUGGCCACAGCCGCCGUGGCCCCUUGCCUCCCUCCAGUGCGGCGCCGCGGGCCUGGCCGUUCACCGCACGGUCCAGCUGCUUCGCUGUGCGGCCCGGGCACACCUGCCCCGGGUGGGGACCGGCCGGGGUCGGGGACUCGCGCCACUUCCGGAGGCUGAGCGGGAAGGGGCCGCGUCUGCUUUUAAACAAGCGAUCGAGUCUUUCCUCCGGCCUCCGAGGGCCCAGGCGGAGGGAGGUGGGGGCGGGUCGGAAAAGGGAACUCGGACGGGAAAGCGAACCCUAGGCGGUUUCGUGCGCCCAGACCCGGACACAAAGGCAACUGCGGGCGUAGCGGCGCGGGGCGGCGGCCUUGGACCCGGCGGCUCCGGCGCCCCCGGCCCUUCCGUGGAGGAGAGAAACCCGGGCGGCUGGGGGCGGCUCGCUCCGGCCACACCCCAACACCUGCACCCCGGCGCAGGAGGGGCCGCGCCCGCCCUCCGGCCCUGGCGCGGGCUGGGCCGCUGCGCCCUCGGGCUCUGCUCUUUCGAAUCUUUGUUCUGGCCUCAACUCGAGAUCCCCUGGGCCCAUCCACCCACACCCCAGGGCUCUGCCCGGGCGUCGACCCCUAACCUUCGCUGCCCCUUUCACUGUUCCGCGAUCACAGCCCCCAUCCGGGCCCCGCUCCCGCGCGUCACGUGGCCGCGGUGGGGUCGGGGACGCCGGCUCCUGGGACCCCACGGCUGUACGUGCCGGGCCUCUGCCCGGGCGGAGCUCAGCGGGGCGGGGGCGCUGCGUUCUCUCCCUGCUGCAGCCAAGGGGGCUGGGGCUGCGGUUGUGAGGCCGCCGGAGAGCCGGCGGCCCCUGCCCGGGUGGAGCUCGGGGAGGGUCAGUGCCGCGCUAAUGGCAGUUCAUGGCAGUAAGCGCGCACCGCCUUGUCGCGAGGACAGCACAGACGUCCGACCUGAAAAGCCCGGUAAGAGUUUCUAUCCACAAAGUUAG